rnacentral:lncRNA from 1 species
UCCGCCGCCACUGCUCGCCGCCACACGCCGCCGCCGGCCGCCGCCUCCGCGCCUCCUGCCACCCUCACAGGUAGAAAAAUCUUCUCCUUGCUCCUACAAUCGGGUAUGUGGGAUUUGAGGACGAAGAGAAUACUGAAGCUGACGGCAGUUGUGGGCGGCGUGUUCAUAAGAGAGCCAACAGAAUGACAACAGCAUCAAUGUCACAGCGACAACCUCCAUCACGAAGAACAGAGUUGCUGUUGCUGGUGAAAAUACUAAUGCCACUGGUGAUGCUUUAUUCCUGUUGAUAUCAGUUAACUGCUGCGGGUGCUGGAUGAAAGAAUAACAGUGGAGAAUUUACAGAGGAUGGAGACAUGCACAAUACGAUGAAUUUUGGUGGUGUCAGCACCUGCAUUUUGUAGGCCUACGUCAAGAUUACAGUCGCUCUGUCUAGGACUCAACAGGUCUCACUGCCCUACAGCCGUUGCUGUGUAAAUGAAACGGAGAAUGUUCUCUGAAAUGGCAGCAGCAAAACAUUCUUUUGUACUAACUUCCCCGUAAUCCGAAGACUUCAAAGGACAGGAACAUCCUAAGAAAUCAGUUCGUCGGCCUUUACACAUAUUAAAGAUAGUAAAAUACAUGAUACUUCACACUAAUAAAG